CCCUUAGAUGUUCUGGGCUGCACGCGCGCUACACUGACGCACGCAACAGGUGCCUGCUCCGAGAGGACUGGGUAAUCAUUUGAGUGUGCGUCGUGAUGGGGAUAGAAUAUUGUAAUUAUUACUCUUCAACGAGGAAUUCCUAGUAAGCGCAAGUCAGCAGCUUGCGCUGAUUACGUCCCUGCCCUUUGUACACACCGCCCGUCGCUCCUACCGAUUGGGUGAGCCGAUGAAACUCUCGGAUGUAGGCUAUUCAUAGCCCGCAGAAGAGAUUUGAAUCGUAGCGCUUAGAGGAAGGAGAAGUCGUAACA
rnacentral:rRNA from 1 species